UACGGAGGGUGCAAGCGUUAUCCGGAUUCAUUGGGCGUAAAGGGCGCGUAGGCGGCGGGGUAAGUCUGGUGUGAAAUCUCGGAGCUCAACUCCGAAAUUGCACUGGAUACUGCUCUGCUAGAGGGCUGGAGAGGAGAUCGGAAUUCACGGUGUAGCAGUGAAAUGCGUAGAUAUCGUGAGGAAGACCAGUGGCGAAGGCGGAUCUCUGGACAGCUCCUGACGCUGAGGCGCGAAGGCUAGGGGAGCAAACGGG
rnacentral:rRNA from 1 species